rnacentral:misc_RNA from 1 species
AACGCACGAGACCUGCGGACCUGCGGAGGGAUCAUUAACAAAUUCCAACACUCGUGUUGGUCAGCUGUGUCGCUCGCCCUCUGCGCUCUUUCAGAGCACAAGAGAGCAGCGCGCGCUGGCCGUAUAACACAAACACAACAACACAAACAUUCAUACUUGACAUCUCAUGGAGAACCAUAUCUAGAGGAGAUAAUGAUAUCAUCAUCGCUAUCGUUGUCAUCGUGCAUAUGAUGGAGGCGA